rnacentral:rRNA from 1 species
AUGAAGUUCACCACGUACGACAAGGCAUGGGACUUUUACAACAAUUAUGCAAGAUGUGUAGGGUUUGACAUACGCAAGAGGGCAAAACACACGACAAAUGCCUACAUUGUCUGCUCAAGAGACGGGACGCACAAGCAGACUGUGUCAGAUUAUCACCGGAAACAUCAGAAGACAUCAAAAAUGAUUGACUGCAAGGCAAAGAUUAGAGUCAAAAGAGGAGAUGGCAAAUUUGUGAUAGAAAUGGUUGAACUCAACCACAAUCACAAGAUGCUGGAAAGCCCCGGGAUGCUUUUGCACAUGCGAUCGCACAAAAAAUACGAUCCUUUGAUAGACCAAUUAGUGAAAGACAUGCAACUGGACAACUACACACAUGCUCAGAUGAUGUCAACGCUGUCGCGUAUGUCCGGUGGUUUGCAGUACAUGGGACAUACUAGCCGCGACUGGGUAAACAAGAAACAAAAGUUUGCCAGAGAAGAGUCCCAAGAUGACAUCAAGAAACUUCUGGAUUUCUUCGAGAAGAUGCAGAAGAUAAACCCAGAGUUCUUCUAUGAUUAUGACGUUGAUGCAGGGUGCAAAGGAUCGUAUGAAGAUUUUGGAGACUGCGUUACAUUUGACAUGACAUAUAAAACUAACAAAUUCCACAUGCCGCUGGGAGUCUUCGUGGGAGUGAACCAUCAUCUACAGAGCACCAUAUUUGCUGUUGCCCUCGUGCGAGAUGAAACAAUACCAUCGUUCGAGUGGGUUUUCAAAACAUUUCUGAGGUAUGUGAACAACAAGCCGCCAAUCUGCAUGCUCACAGACCAGUGUUCUUCAAUGAAGGCAGCAUUAAAAACUAUCCUCCCACAUACACUACAUAAGUUGUGUCGGUGGCAUAUCAUGAAGAAGUACAAAGACCACCUCGCCUUGCUGUAUAAGGCGCACGAGAAACUCAAGGGUGACCUCAAUGCGGUGCUGAAGCACCCACUAAUGCCGUCAGAAUUUGAACGAGCAUGGAAGGACCUCAUUCAGAGAUACAACUUGCAAAAUGACGAAGUGAUGAAUUCGCUGUGGGAUGACAGGCGAGUGAUCUCGGCUUACUACAAGGAAAUUUUCUGUGCUCGGAUGACUUCCAUGCAGAGAAGCGAGAGCAUGAACCGCAUACUGAAGAAAAACUUUGUCAAAGAGAAGCAUGAUCUCCAUCUGUUUGCUCAGCAGGUGGACAAGUGCAUUCAGACCAGGAAGGCCGUCGAGCACGCAGAGACAGUAGCAAAAGAGGUAAACAAAAUGUCCAUCAAAAACUGCUAA